GCCUAGCCCCGAUAGCAGUGAAAAUCCCUUUACACCGGUCCCGAAGCUUCUAGAGGCAUAAAAAAUUGAAACCAAUAGCGGGACUAUUU
rnacentral:sRNA from 1 species